rnacentral:ribozyme from 13 species
UUUCCUUCUUUUUGUGCUUCUUCUCUCCUUUUCACCCCUUCUUCUUUUCUCUUCCAAAUGAAGCAAAUCAUAAACAGAAAUGGGAAUGAAAAAUGAGAAGGACAAUAAUGAGAAAUCAAUUAAC